rnacentral:lncRNA from 1 species
ACAUAAUCCCUAUAUCACAUAUCAUGAGCGUGAGAUCUACACAUACAUUAUAAUCACAAACAUAAACAUAUCAGUUGUCAUGCAUUUUAUAGAACCACUUGGUUAGAAUCACACAGUUGGUAUCCAUCUCGAUAAGUUAUAAAAAUCUUCACGAAUAUUUAGAGUAUACAUAUUUUUAAUAUAAUUAUAUUAUUAAUAAUAAAAUAUUGAUGUCUCACAAAUAAAUGGUAUUGAUUCGACACCUUAGAUUGUAGAUCCGAUUUCCCUGCACCCUUAUUAAUGGUUUCACUUGAUUUAUCACACAAGACGAUCCCAUGAUCUAAUACUCUCAAAAGGAUAAUAAUUUCUGAUGUGAUGUCAGGCGUCUCCCCUACGAUUAUUGUUCGACCACUUCAUUAAUUGAAAUCUAUCAAUGAAUCUGGAAGGAGUGUUUUCAAAAAAGCUAGCGAUCGGCGAUGACGAUUGCGGUGGUCAAACGGCAAAGGUGACGGCUCAGCGGUGGUCUAGCAAUGAUGGAGCUCUAUUUGAUAGUAGCUAAACAGCUGCCGAAUGAUGUAGGAUUUAUAAGGUCGACUAAAAAGAGGGGAAAAAGGAGUAAGAGAAAUAAAAUUACAUAAAAAUAGAGGAAAAAGAGGACUUGCGGUGGCGUAUGACGGCGACUACAACGGCAGUGGAAGGAGGAAGGUGAGAAGAGUGAAGGUGUGACGGCUACGUGGGUAGUGAUCGAUGGAAGGAGGUUUGGGUCAUGGUGGUGGAAGAAAAAGACGAUUAAAGGAGUGCUGGUGGUUGAUGGUAAUUGGAGAGAGAAGAUAAGAGAAAAGAAAAUGAA